CCUACUUUCUAGUCGGACCAAUGACUAGAGCAAGAGCAAAGAAAGUUAAGGAGGCCUUGCAGCAAGUUGUAGCAACAAUUCUUGAAGGUGCUCCUAGUUUGGAGGACAUGAAGCCUAAAAUGGUUCAUUGCAUCAUUCCAAUGGAAGACCCUUGAUACUAUGUGAUAUCUUUUUUCAGGUGAUUCUUGGGUCUAAAUCGAAGUUUGGAAAGUCCUCUUUAGCCUCUUUUUGAAAUCACGCAAUUCCGAGUUCUCUGGCUCGAGUUACAUCGAAUCCUAAUACGAUCUGAAAAUUCAAAGAGGCUUAUUUCAGAACCUCAUCAGGUGGUAUUCAGAGCUUUGUUCUAGUGUUGGAAUUGGAAGAUUUUAUCUCAACCUUUUGGGUGAUUGUGUGCGCAAAUUCUGGCUGUUGAACCCACUUGUAGGGCCAUUUUUGUAGGAGGCAGCAUCCGUGAGCAUCUUCACAUUGUUGUUUGGAAGCAAUGGCAUAUCACAGGCAGCU